UGAAUUAACUGCCUGCUGUGAAAGAGAUUGUGAUGUAAUCAUUUGAUUUGCUUGAUCAUUCUUUCAUGUGAUUGUAUAUAACAUUAAUGCUGUAUUUAAGGAUCUGAAUUUGGGAACCCAAAACUCACUCAAAACCUUUGUGUUUUCUUGUUCCUUCAAAAGCUGAAACUCUGCCACCACUUCAAAGCUGGAUUUGUUAAAGGCAUUUUAUGCAACAUGUUUGAUGAAAUGCUUGUGAGGAAUGGUUUCUUACACGUGGUGAGUUUGUUGCCAAAUUAUACAUCUGCAGCAUAAUUGAAGCCAAUACUUGGUACUGACUGGUUUGCUUGCUUGCAAACACACGACAAUUACAAUCUGACACGAGUGCCUGAGCAGACCCCAUUUAAUUAGUUUUAGAACCCAGGCUCAACUUACUAUACAAGCUUCCAUGACUGCAACAGAUGGUACUGUUUGUGAAACGCCAACUCAGUAAACAAAAGAGCUCUAAUGUAACAUGAUGAGACUUUGUCUUCAUCAGCAAACCAAUAGAAGCUGCCUGUGUAGCACUGAGGCUUGCACUUUGCCACCGCCUUGAGCAGCUCGGGCAGCCGAAGCAAUCUACUCCUGUGGCCCUCAUGAUCUGCUGGCUUGGCUGCUGAUCUACUGUUGUUGUGCUUAUUUAAUGAAUAUGAAGAAUAUGGCUUUGCCAUGACAGGAAGCAUUACAAGAGAAAAGGUUGGGUUGAAUAUAUAUUUAUUGUGCAAGAUAUGCUCUUUAACUCUUUUGUUCACGACUGAGAAGAGUGAUAUGAAGAUUCAAAGAUUUAUAAUACUUAUUCCACUUUUUAUGGUUAAAAAUGCUACAAUUUCGUCUGACUUCAGACUUGCUCUGAUUGUCUAGAUCAUCGGUGAUCUAUAAGCAUGUAUUAGACCAUAUGAAAUAUUCAUUAUGUUCUAGCCUUAAAUUUUUGCAUGCUUUUAAAAAAUUUUCAGCUAAAACUUUCUAUAGGUUGUCUCGAACAGUUCACACAUGAGAUCCUGCCCUUUCCAAGAAAGCAGAGCGAUGCUUGUUUGGUUUAACAGAGGAAUCAGCAAGCCUCUAUGCAAAGAUGGUGUUGAUUACUAAUGGUCAUUGAAUUGGGUCAUAUGUAAACGUUCAUGACGGCAUGCACCGUUGGUAUUCUUGCUAAGAUGCCUAUGUGGAAAUCUGGUCUUGAAUACCAACAGGGUACUGGUCAUGGAAUUGGGUCUUAGCUAAACACUCAUGAAGUUGUUGGAAGCACCUUGGACUGUUUGUUUGGUGCAGCAGGCUGUCAGUUUGGUUUCUUACUUCACUAUGAGGACACAUUGGAACUUUAGAGAAGCAAAUUAAGAAACUUGCUGGUAUAGGAGAAGGUUAGAAGCCCAAAUUAAAGCUGCUGAAAGGAAUCCAGAAAUUAUAGAAAUUGAUGUUCUGGAUGUCGGAGGUUGAUUGAAUCACUGCUGAAGAUGAAAAACUUAUGGAGGGUGAAGUCAAAGCAAACAAGAGGCGUCUCAAUGAGUGGUGCAUUAAUCUCAAACAACGUAACCGACUCAAUAAAUAGGUAAGGAAGACGUUUAUGUUGUGUUGAUUACAUCUUAAAAUUUUGUAGCUUUUGUGUUUGAAUACAUUCCGGGUUUGUUCAAAGGCAAUUCAUGCAUCAUGUAUGAUGAAAUGUUUGUGAGGAAUGGUUUCCUACAUGUGGUGAAUUUGUUGUCAAAUAGUUCAAAGAAGCAUAAAAAUGUCACUACUUGGACCUGAUUGGUUUGCUCACAAACAAAUGAGAAUUAUGACCUGGCAUGAGGUGAUUUCCAACCAUGUGAAUUUACUUAUAUGUACUUAAUUGGAUGAUAA